ACGCAACCGGGAAGCUUCAAAACCGCCAAAUGACCCUGGGAGCCAGGACACAGCCAAUGAUAGGGAAAGAAGAAAUAGACCAGGACGUAAAAUACCAAACAACAGGACUGGCUUAUUGGUGACUCCAUGAAGCCCCACAAUCUCACUGAAGUCUAUGCAGAAGUCCUGGAAGAGCCCUCGAGUGAGUCGUGUCUUGCAGGAAACCGAUCAACCUCUAAAGAAGAAGGCAACUUCACCGGUGUGCGACCUCAUCAAUAUCAGCGUGGACAAGGGCCCGCUGCGUGGAGAGGCUUUUUGUUGCAAUUCAUUGUUUGCCUCACGUGUACCAUCGGGUCUGAUAACAGAGACAGGGAUGAGGACGAAUGUUGCACGGGCACAUUGCUCAGCAGACUACCCUCAAGCUCUGUGGAGGGGCUUACCGCUGAGCCACGGGAGGUCUACAGCGCCUCUGGGAUUCAGGGACCUGACCUCAGCCCUGUAACGUGCCAGUCUGCAGGGGUGGAGUCUAAACCCAUCCAAACCAAGUCUCAGGCGGUCCUCAAGAGACUUUUCCCCCUGAAAAACCGUUCAAGAGAGGCAAAACUUCCUCCAGGGCCACGUGCCAAUUCUUUUCAAUUCUCCUUGAGGAAACGGAUGUUCUGCAAGCAAAAGCAAAGACCCAAAAAGCCUUCACCGUUUCUCCAGGAGAGUAUCGGAGGGAGUCAGGAGUACAUUGAGGAGGAGAAUAUAGUCCUGGUCAAUAAACACAUAGGUGGCGUUGCUAUGAACAUGAUGAACCCAGCUCCAUACCUUCAUGAUGCAAUCAAGGAUCCUUGCCCUGAGAUCCUAGCCAUCAGUUUAGAUUUGAGUGCUUUUGAAUUGUGAUGAAAAAUCACAAUGGUGUUGUUUACUUUUCAUCAUUUAAGCUUUGUUCUCUUCAGGUUGUUAAUCUUGCCACUCUAUCUGUUGACUAGUGUUAUCUAGUUCCCCUUUCUCUGGAUAUACUGAGUUAUUUCAGUAUAUCCAGAGGUAAAAAGAAUCCAGACAGGUGAGACCACAAUACUUUUGUAAAUACGAAAACGUACUUAAUGAGCAUACAAUAAAUAGGUAUAUUUUACAACUAUAGUGUGCUUUUUUGCAUCUGUCCUAGACCCACCAGCUCUUGAAGGAAUUGCCAAAACAGUGUUCAUUUUGAAACCCAAGGACAGCGUGGCGCCUGGCAGAUCUUUGAAACAUCUGUAGAUCCCAGUGCACCAAAGGGACUUGCCAACAUUUCCUGCACGACCACAGCCCAUCACUGCACAGAAAUGGAUAGGCGAUCAUUUAAAAAGGAUGCAGGACCAACAGAGUUUCAGCAAUGAGUGUACGAGUGACUCCAACAGAAUGGAGCUGGAAGCGUUAGCAGAGAUUUACAGAAAUCCACUGAAAACGAGCAAUGCCGAGGACUUUGAAGACAAUGCUAUGAAAGGCCAUGACCAACAACAAGAAAGGCUGCCGUUGCAAAUGGCAUACUCAGUUGUACGGGCUGCAAUGGAAGCGGCCCAGAGACAGCUUAGAGAAGAGCGAAUUGCUGAAUAAGUCGUGUAUAGAUGCUACAUUUUUUAUUGGUGGACAAUUAUUAUAUAAUUAUAAUGUAUUUGUGUGUGAAGUAUAUUAACACAAAUUCCCUUUAGACUUGAUUAUGAUUGCUAGUCAGUCAUGUGUAUAACAUUAAAUGGUUGAUUUAAAAAAAACUUUUGAACAGUUUUUUCAAAAAACCUUGGUUCUGCAUUGGCUAGGUGGAAUGUGAUCAUUGAGUUUUAAUAAAAGCUCUGGACCAUGUUUGCUGUAUCUUUUAGCAUGACAAAUAAAAAAAACAUUGUCAAAAGAGGAGUUGACAUUGCAAUGUCCACGCUGUUGAAUUUGUUUGUUUUCACACCCUCAACAUGGGUGUGGUUUUUCGUGCGCUAAGCACAUGCCUCCGACCAGGUUAGACCAGGUCACACAGUUGGUAAAUAUCACGAUGAAGAAUAAUUGAAGACAUGACAGUUGAUUUGGGUCAAAUUGUUUUAUUGAAUACAAUGAAGCAAUGGAUUACAAUUGGAAAUACCCUUGUUUAGGGUUAGUCUCUUUAAUAUAUAUAUAUAUAUAUAUAUAUAUAUAUAUAUAUAUAUAUAUAUAUA